AUUGAACGCUGGCGGCAUGCCUUACACAUGCAAGUCGAACGGCAGCGGGCCUUCGGGUGCCGGCGAGUGGCGAACGGGUGAGUAAUGCAUCGGAACGUGCCAUUGAGUGGGGGAUAACGUAGCGAAAGUUACGCUAAUACCGCAUAUUCUGUGAGCAGGAAAGCAGGGGACCGCAAGGCCUUGCGCUCUUUGAGCGGCCGAUGUCAGAUUAGCUAGUUGGUGAGGUAAAGGCUUACCAAGGCGACGAUCUGUAGCGGGUCUGAGAGGAUGAUCCGCCACACUGGAACUGAGACACGGUCCAGACUCCUACGGGAGGCAGCAGUGGGGAAUUUUGGACAAUGGGCGCAAGCCUGAUCCAGCCAUGCCGCGUGAGUGAAGAAGG
rnacentral:rRNA from 1 species